UCUCGUAUUUUUAGUAGCUGACUAGCAUAGCCUGAGCAGGAGUAGGAUCCUUGCUACAUGUAUAUUUAUGGAGAAACUAAAAAUGUAUAUUGCUUAUUCUCAAAAAUAAAAAUGCACAUGUUACUACUUUUCAGUCUCUGAAGAAAGAAUAGCAACUUUUUUCUUUCUGAUCUGUAGAAUAGAAUAAUGAAAACUUUUGUGUCGAAAGCUUAUAGAUUCGACUUAGGAUAGUAUUUUGGGACAACCACUAAAGGAAGAUUGAUAUAUUUUUUUGGACAAACACCGUUUAUCCUUUUGCAUUUAAAUCCUUAGCCUAUAGGAUUUCGUGUUUGUCCCAAAAAAUAUCUCCUUAGUGAAGACCACGUAGGCUAAAGAUUUAAAAUCAAAGAAUCAAGGGUGAUCUUUUACUUAGAGCUGAGAGAGUUUCCUGCUUGUGACUGUUUAGAAUUCAUCACUAUCUUUACUUCCGGUACGGAAAAUAUUUAGUGUAAACAGCAAUAAUUAUUUACUUUAAGCCCACGUCACAUCAGCAGUUAAUCGACUUGAGGGCACCAAAUUAUAGCCUAAAGAAAAGUAAACAAAAAAGAUAGGUAAUGAUGUCUGCGCGAUGUAUAGCCUUUCUGCGUUUUUCUAUAUUAUGAUGUCUUCUGAAGGAAUUCCCUGAGUAAUGGCGUUUGAAAUUAACCAAGCUGCAGUUCAUUUUGCAAAGGCAGGAACGUAUGGAUUUUGAAUGUUAAUUUAUACGCCCUCUGUUUUCAUUUGUUUGUCUUACUAACCUUUUUAGUCCGUUUCAAAAAAAUACUUCUUCCCUUUUUUGGCAACUCUUUAAAUUCAACUUUUCACAUGGAAUGUUUAAGACCACAAGAUUAAAGGAAAUUUUGGUACAUUCUAUGUAUCUUUAAUUUAAGACCACAAGAUUCAAAAGUCUUGUUUACUUUCUUAAACUCCAUGCCAAGUCAAAACCAAACAAACAAAUUGAAACAGAGGGAAUAGCAGUCAUUAUGAACAAAUUCUUGCAUAACACAAUCUAACCACAAUGUGCUAAAGUACCGAAGUCGACGAUUAAUAUUAGCUUACUUAAAGAUUUUCUCACAAGUCCUAGUUAGUGGGUGAUGUGUUGUAAGAAAAUUGGUUUAGGAAAUGCAAAGUGCCACCUCCGCCUGAUAGAUUGAAAAACAAGUAAAGAAUAAGAGAGAGAGAGAGAGAAUCAAGUGCUCAUGCUCUCAACUCUGUUUAGUUUUUGCUUAACAAUAAUUCCCCAUGGCGUUUGGCAUAGUCAUGCGAAGACCCGGUCAUGGAGAUACAACUUUGUCAGUCAGCUGCUCUGAUAAGAUUGCCGUUGGAAUGUGUUCGGUGUACAAGGUUCCUUAUAUUUCUAGUUGGUAGAUAUGCUUUCAGUUAUAUAAUAUCCAAAAGCAAUUGAAGAAACCUUUAGAAUUAACUAAGGACUAACAUAUAUUAACAUAUAUGUUACCCUUUUCAAAAUAUAUAAAUAAUAUAGAAGCGUUCACAGCUCAUGUUCUUUAUCUUGUUUACUAUCUUUGUGUUUUUGUAUGCUGAUUAAAAUACGUUUCUGAAGUUCCACAAUGCAACUGAUCUAUGUGGUGAUAAGUAGUUUAUCUAGAUCUUUAGUUAAUUGAAUCUCGCAGCUAUAUGAAAUUAUUGUCUCUUUUACUAGAUUGUUAAUCUGCUUAUGUAAAUGUCCAUCUUUCGUGGAGUUUAUAUUUCUAUCAUGAGCAAAUAACAACAUACCCAGUGUAAUCUCACAUGUGGGGUCUGGGGAGGUAGAGUGUAUGCAGACCUUGCCCCUACCAUAGGGAGGUAGAGAGGCUGUUUUCGAUAGAUAUAUUCCUAUCAUGAAUUCCUAUUAAAUGUCAGCAUGUUAGUCAGAGAACAACAACAUACCUAAUGUAAUCCCACAAGUGGAGACUAGGGAGGGUAGAAUAUACGCAGACCUUACCCCUACUCUGUGGGGUACAGAGGUUGUUUCCGAUAGACCCUCGGCUCAAUAGAAAGUUUACGAAGCAGAGUUGCAAGAAACAAAUGACAGAAAAAUACAAAACAAAUGAAGUAAUAGACAGUAAUACACGUUAAAGAAUAAGAAACUACGCGAUUACUAAAUAAUACUAGUAAUAAGGAGAAGAGAAGAGGAGGUUAGCCCCCGCCUCUCCCACAUAUAGUGCGGCAACACUUAGCUACCUACAAACCUUCUAACCUAACUAACCCUCUACCCUAAUCCUCGACCUCCAUACCUUCCUAUCUAGGGUCAUGUCCUCAGCAUGUUAGUAAGCCAUUCACAAAAAUCACAUGGGUAGAUCUGACUAUUCAAUUUGCAAUGACAUGGUUGAUCUGUUGUCUAUUUCAUGAGAUUGUGAAGUUCUCCCUCUAUUUCAAUUAUGUGUCUUGCACUCCUUUUUAGUCUGUUUUAAAAAGAACGUCACUUUCUAUAUUUAGUAGUUCCUUAAUUCAAACAUCUCUCACGGCAUGUUUAAGAAGAGUACAAGAUUCCUGGGGAGAUUGUCUCAUGAAAUGGAGGAACCUGUGACUGCUCUGGUAGGUGUUGUAUUAUCAACUUUGUGAAGACUUCCUAUAUAGCGUGCUUUCAAUACGUGCUGUAAUGAAAAUUUUGGUUGUCAUUAUUUUUACUUGAAGCCUAUCAAUGUUGGUGGAGCUUUGCUUUUACUUAUUGCAGUGAUCUUUUAAUGUUUACCCUGUGUUGUUUCUACUUUCAGUCAGUCCCAUUCUUAUUGCAGGAGCUCUACUUUCUUUCAUAUUGGAGCCAAUUUAUAUUUUUUCUGUGACCAUUGGAAAUCCCAUAUAGCUUCUAAGUCCUCCAUUAUUGAAGAUGAAAUGAUGAGAGCUAUACGCGUGUGAAUCUUACCAUUAUCCAACAAGUUAAUGGAUUCAUUUCAAGUGAACAAGUCACUUGUCUUUGUUGCGCCAAUUCCACCCGAGAAGUUUCAACAUGCUGUAACUGCUCUGACCACUUUAACAUGUGGGUACUCUGUAUUCUGGAACAAGUCUGGGUUGCAUGAAGUCAUUUUUGGAAUCACUGGCAUGAAGCAGGGCACUUCUGCGAAAGGCGCAAUGUCUCCUUCCACUGAGUCUUCUCUAUGCAACAAGGUAAGUCGCAAGAAUAUAAUUUAGCUUCAGAAACCUUUAAAGGCAGUUCAAAUUUCAAGAGCUGGUUUCUGAAAUCUCAAGAUUUUGAGGCCUUUUCAUUCAUGGCUCCAUGAGGGACAAUGGUUGAUAUGUGAAUGGAAAUGGAUUUGACGGUUGAAGUGCUGAACAUGGGCCAUGGGUGGUAGGCUAUAUUGUUGCAGAGAUACUCGCCUUUUCUGGGCGAACUACAUUGAAUUGACAGGGGAAUUUCUCAAAUCAUGUGAUUUAUGUUUUUCCCCAGUUUAGAGCUCUGCCAGAUUUUUUUGAAGCGUUAACUUGCUAUCUUUAGUAUCUUUAGCAUGUUUUUUCCUUUUUUUUUUUUUUCCUUUAUUCUUUUCUCCAAAUUUCUUGCCUGUUAGUGAAGGGAUCAUCAGAAACAAUUUUUUAAUAGCUUUGUCUUGUACUUGGUCCUGUACCAUCUUGGUACCAGAUUUAUAAAACUUCUACUUAUCAAAAAAAAAAAAAAAAAGGUGAAGGGAUCAUCAGAAUAAAUGAAAAAUACCUGAGCCUUAAUGCAUUAUGCAUGUGAAGGGGGCUGUUACUCUUACAUGCUGUAUGACUUCUUUGCACACUCCUUUGUUAAAGUCACUCCUGCUUUAUUUCCUUCUUGGGGCUCAGUCACAUGUUACUCUCCAGCUUAAUGCUAAUUACUUUGCUUAUUCUCGCUAAAAAGACGCACAAAACAAAUACUAUAACUGAAGCUAAUAUUCUUCUUGGAGGAUGACCUGACAUUAUAGUGAUUAUAGUGUGUUGCAAUGCAGAACGUUGCACAAUAGCAUUCACAAGAUAUUCAUGGGCAUUUAGGAAAUGUAGAUGAUUAAAAGAACUUUAUUAGAGCUAGGUGAUAUUUCAAAACCAUCCCUUUUGCCUCUUAACACUUUUAAGUGUAGUUUCUUGGGUUCGUGAAGUGAUUUGUUUGAGCUUUGCAUCUCAAUGAAUGGUUGAGUCUAUAAUAUCAGCUGAUUAAAAUGAUGUCAUGGCUUUGACUCUAUAAUUUGCUGCCGUGUACUCCGGAUAAAUCUAAGUUGUUCCAUGUUCCUGGUGUUAGAAUAAGGCAGGUGCAUGAGGGCAGUGCUUCCAAUGUUAAAGGACUGCGCAAUCAAGACACCUUGUGUUUUCCCUUGUGAUAAUAAGGUUCAAGGAGUUUUGAACUGAAUUGAGAUCACAUGAAGUGGAAUUGAGCAAAAAAAUAGUUGAAAAUGUGGAGGUUGCCAGUGACCUCGCUUCUGCGCACGGAGGAGCGCUUCUGCACAUAUGACCAUGUCUCACAAGGGUCGCUUCUGCAUCCAUUUUUCCGCUUCAGCGGUCCCGCACCUGCGACCAGAUUUCCGCAGAUGCGAUCAAUGGGUUUCAGUGAUGGGCAGAUUUGGCAUUUCACAUGUUCUUGAUCCCAAACCCACAUAAACUCAACCUGGCUCACUUGGAAACACAUCUUUGGCAGAAAACACAAGUUUUGGGAGUUAGGGUUCCUACACCACACUUUGGGAUUGAGCACUUCUUGAACCUUCACUUCAUUUAUUUAAUUUCUAGCUUUGUAAUGAACGUCCACCCCUACUCACACGCCUUUAAGGAGGUAUUAACACACACGUAGGAAUCUAGUAACUCAGUUGGUUGACUACCUGUACUCUCACUUUGUUGGUGAGGUUCGAAUUUUCACAUUGUAAUCCUUUUCCCCAUCUCUCCUUCCCCUAUUUCCUAUGUAAAAAAAAAAAAGGUAUUAACACACUUUAUCAUUGUCAAACCGGGGGGUUUUAGCACGUGAAAGUUAUAGUUCAGGGGUAAAGUAAACAAAACAUAGUUUAAGAAUGAAAUGAAU